AGAGCUUCCCAAGGAUUAACCGCUCACAGGAAAUUAACUCACAGUGCAUCUUUGGAGUCACCUAACCAAAUAGUAGGAUCAGAUAAUCAAACUACUAAAAAUGUGGGAAACAACAACUACUGUGGUCAUGAUGAUUCUUGCAACACAUUUAAUUACAACUACCUCAACAACAAAUGAAACAACAACUACUACAAUUGAGGCAACAACAUCAACUGCAAAUGAAACAACAACUUCAAGAACAAUUGAGGCAACAACAUUAACCACAAAUGCACCAACAACAUUAACUGCAAAUGAGCCAACAUCCACAACAUUUGAGGGAACAGCAACAACCACAAUUG